CCUACGGGAGGCAGCAGUGAGGAAUAUUGGUCAAUGGACGAGAGUCUGAACCAGCCAUGUAGCGUGAAGGAUGACGGCCCUAUGGGUUGUAAACUUCUUUUAUAUGGGAAUAAAAUGUUCCACGUGUGGGCUUUUGUAUGUACCAUAUGAAUAAGGAUCGGCUAACUCCGUGCCAGCAGCCGCGGUAAUACGGAGGAUCCGAGCGUUAUCCGGAUUUAUUGGGUUUAAAGGGAGCGUAGGUGGAUUGUUAAGUCAGUUGUGAAAGUUUGCGGCUCAACCGUAAAAUUGCAGUUGAAACUGGCAGUCUUGAGUACAGUAGAGGUGGGCGGAAUUCGUGGUGUAGCGGUGAAAUGCUUAGAUAUCACGAAGAACUCCGAUUGCGAAGGCAGCUCACUGGACUGCAACUGACACUGAGGCUCGAAAGUGUGGGUAUCAAACAGGAUUAGAUACCCUAGUAGUC
rnacentral:rRNA from 1 species